rnacentral:lncRNA from 1 species
CUUCCAUUUAAUAAUUGUAAAUAUAUUGCUGUUUCUCCAUUUUUUUAUUUUUUCAACAGUGUCAAUUUUUUAUCUUUUAAAAAGUUCUUUUUUUUUAUAUUUUUACAAAACACUCAUAAAAAAAAAACUGCUUUUUUUUAUGCACAAAAAUGAAAAUCUAAGUAUACACAGUAGACCAAAUGAUUCUCUUGUUAUGUGUCAAAAAAAAAAAGAAAUAAUAACACUACUUGUUGAUACGUUAAUAUUGUUAAAUCAGUUGCCAGAUGGGCUGUCAAGUGGACUGUCAAGUGGACUGUCAAGUGGAAUGUCAAGUGGACUGUCAAGUGGAAUGUCAAGUGGAAUGUCAAGUGGACUGUCAAGUGGAAUGUCAAGUGGACUGUCAAGUGGAGUGUUAAGUGGCACAUCGAACGAGCUACCAAGUGACAACAUAACAAACGAAUUAGACAUAAAUGAAAUUUAUAAAAAUUAUGAAAUCGUUCUAAAUAAAUUACAAAAUGCUACAUAUUUAACCAAAAUUAUAAAAAAGCAGUUAGAGUCAGAAUUAGAAAAAAAAAAUGAAAAUUUAGGUAAUAUAAAAGAGCAAGAAAAAAAUGUUAAUACAAAAACGGAAGAACUAAAAGAACUUAAACAUCCCAUUAACAUUAAUGUAUGUUCUAUAAAUCAGUCUAAUAAUAAACAAAUUUAUGAAAGAAUAGUAACAGAACAUAAAAAUAAUAUUAUGGAAAAAAAACAGAACCCCAAUUUAAACUAUCAUAUUUAUUUUUGUGAAAACAAGGAAUUCGAAAACUGUGAUGACAACUCUUGGAAAGAAAACAAAAAUAUAUACAAAAAAAGAUAUUAUAAAAAUGGAAUAAUUAAUAAUGUGAGCGAGAAUGGUAGUGAGCACAAGGCACAAUUAGGAAGAGAUAAAAAUUUUAAUGAUACACAAAAUAGUAGUAAUAAUAAUGCCAGUAGUCAUCUUAGUAAUAAUAACUACAAUAGUAGUACUGUUGAUUGUGCUGCUAACAACCACCAAUAUCUAUGUGUCCAAAAUUUAAUAACAGAAUUAAAAAGUACUUUUAAAAAAAAAAAAAAUUACAUUUAUAUUAACAAAAAAUUAUUUUAUGACAAAAAAAAAAAAGAUUUUUGCAUCGAUGAUAUAUCACCAACAGAUAUUCUCUUACUAAAAGAAAAAGUAAGUAAUGUAGAAAAGUGUACAUCCGAAAAAAAGCAAACAAAAUUAAACCACACAAAUGUAUAUGUUCAAUCAGAAACACUACACGACAAUCAAACAAUUAUGGCAAAUAAAAACUAUGUUACUGCUAAUAACUAUUA